rnacentral:rRNA from 1 species
UUAAUACUGCAUACGCCCCAUGGGGGAAAGAUGGCCUCUUGCUGUCGCUGAAAGAUGAACCUGCGGCCUAUUAGCUAGUUGGUAGGGUAAAGGCCUACCAAGGCGAUGAUGGGUAGCCGGCCUGAGAGGGCGAUCGGCCACAUUGGAACUUAGACACGGUCCAAACUCCUACGGGAGGCAGCAGUGAGGAAUAUUGCGCAAUGGGCGAAAGCCUGACGCAGCGACACCGCGUGGAGGAUGAAGGUCUUAGGAUUGUAAACUUCUGUUAAGUGGGAAGAAAGAUCCAUGAGUAAUAUACAUGGAGGAUGACGGUACCACUAGAGAAAGCACUGGCUAAUCUCGUGCCAGCAGCCGCGGUAAUACGAGAGGUGCAAGCGUUAUUCGGAAUUAUUGGGCGUAAAGGGUGCGUAGGCGGUAUGUUAAGUCUGUUGUUAAAUUUCCCGGCCCAACCGGGAACCAGCGGCAGAUACUGAUGUGCUAGAGGAUGGAAGAGAGAAGUGGAAUUCUUGGGAGUAGCGGUAAAAUGCGUAGAUCUCAAGAGGAACACCGAUGGCGAAGGCAGCUUUCUUGGUCCAUUUCUGACGCUAAUGCACGAAAGCGUGGGGAGCAAACAGGAUUAGAUACCCUGGUAGUCCACGCUGUAAACGAUGAUCACUGGAUGUUGGAACUGCUUGCAGAUUCAGUAUCGAAGCUAACGCGUUAAGUGAUCCGCCUGGGGAGUACGGUCGCAAGAUUAAAACUCAAAGAAAUUGACGGGGGUCCGCACAAGCGGUGGAACAUGUGGUUUAAUUCGACACUACGCGAGGAACCUUACCUAGGUUUGACAUGUAUAUGACCGCUGUAGAAACACAGCUUUCCAAGGGUAACCUUGGACAUUUACACAGGUGCUGCAUGGCUGUCGUCAGCUCGUGUCGUGAGACGUUUGGUUAAGUCCUAUAACGAGCGCAACCCCUGCCUUCAGUUGCUAUCCAGUGAUGGAGCACUCUGAAGGGACUGCCUGGGUAACCAGGAGGAAGGUGGGGAUGAUGUCAAGUCAGCAUGGUCCUUAUGCCUAGGGCUACACACGUGUUACAAUGGCGAAUACAAAGAGUCGCGAAGCCGUAAGGUGGAGCUAAUCUCAUAAAGUUCGUCUAAGUUCGGAUUGAGUUCUGCAACUCGACCUCAU